rnacentral:rRNA from 1 species
GACGAACGCUGGCGGCGUGCUUAACACAUGCAAGUCGAACGGAAAGGCCCUGCUUUUGUGGGGUGCUCGAGUGGCGAACGGGUGAGUAACACGUGAGUAACCUGCCCUUGACUUUGGGAUAACUUCAGGAAACUGGGGCUAAUACCGGAUAGGAGCUCCUGCUGCAUGGUGGGGGUUGGAAAGUUUGGGCGGUUGGGGAUGGACUCGCGGCUUAUCAGCUUGUUGGUGGGGUAGUGGCUUACCAAGGCUUUGACGGGUAGCCGGCCUGAGAGGGUGACCGGCCACAUUGGGACCGAGAUACGGCCCAGACUCCUACGGGAGGCAGCAGUGGGGAAUAUUGCACAAUGGGCGGAAGCCUGAUGCAGCAACGCCGCGUGCGGGAUGACGGCCUUCGGGCUGUAAACCGCUUUCGCCUGUGACGAAGCGUGAGUGACGGUAAUGGGUAAAGAAGCACCGGCUAACUACGUG